rnacentral:misc_RNA from 1 species
UACGACGCAUGAGUGGUGAUUAGGAUAUGUUUCCCCUGCAGGCUCCAUGUAUCUGGCAUCGAACUGCUUGGGUCUAUCCACUUCAUUUGCGGGUUCGCCUCGGCGUUUUCAUUGUCGGUCGCGACUACUUGUUGGGUUCCUGUGCUUGGUACUGAAUUUUGAAGUUGGAUGGAUUGCUGUUCCCCGUUAUGGUUUUUUGAUCCCCCCUCCGCUUCGCGCGGCGUUGGUGGAUGUUGUGCGGGCAUCGAGGUUUUCCUUUCGAGCCGUCGCUCCCCUUUGGGCGCUUUCGGUUGAGAUGGCACGUAGAUGCUAACGGCACUCUCGGGUACGGAGAUUUUGUGGUUAUCGCAUUGGUCUUCGGCCUUUGUGAUCGUAACGAAUCGAAGCUUUCUUGCUUCCGAAUGUAUGACCCUCGUGCUCGUCUAAGAGUUCGCGGAGCGUCUUUGCUUGGUGUUCUUCUUGGGGAGCCAUCGAGGUCUACAAAGGAACGCUACCUGGUUGAU